rnacentral:misc_RNA from 1 species
AAGUCGUAACAAGGUCUCCGUUGGUGAACCAGCGGAGGGAUCAUUACCGAGUACUAUAACUCAUAACCCUUUGUGAACCUUUAUACCUGUUGCUUCGGCGGCGCUCCGGCGCCCGCCGGUACCAUCAGAAUCUCUGUUCGAACCCGACGAUAUUUCUGAGUGUUCUAAGCGAACUGUUAAAACUUUCAACAACGGAUCUCUUGGCUCCA